CUUCUCGUGGUGUAGUGGUAACGCGCCUAUCUAGUGAGUAGGAGUCGUGGGUUUGAGUCUCACCGAGAGGA
rfam:Aedes albopictus isolate Foshan contig140612, whole genome shotgun sequence.